rnacentral:rRNA from 1 species
GUAGGUGGCAAGCGUUGUCCGGAAUUAUUGGGCGUAAAGCGCGCGCAGGUGGUUCUUUAAGUCUGAUGUGAAAGCCCCCGGCUCAACCGGGGAGGGUCAUUGGAAACUGGGGAACUUGAGUGCAGGAGAGGAAAGUGGAAUUCCACGUGUAGCGGUGAAAUGCGUAGAUAUGUGGAGGAACACCAGUGGCGAAGGCGACUUUCUGGCCUGUAACUGACACUGAGGCGCGAAAGCGUGGGGAGCAAACAGGGAUUAGAUACCCUGGUAGUCCACGCCGUAAAACGAUGAGUGCUAAGUGUUGGGGGGGGUUUCCGCCCCCUUCAGUGCUGCAGCUAACGCAUUAAGCACUCCGCCCUGGGAGUACGGUCGCAAGACUG